GUGAGGAAUAUUGGUCAAUGGCCGGGAGGCUGAACCAGCCAAGUCGCGUGAGGGAAGACGGCCCUACGGGUUGUAAACCUCUUUUGUCAGGGAGCAAGAGGCGGGUCGGGACCUGCUGUGAGAGUACCUGAAGAAAAAGCAUCGGCUAACUCCGUGCCAGCAGCCGCGGUAAUACGGAGGAUGCGAGCGUUAUCCGGAUUUAUUGGGUUUAAAGGGUGCGCAGGCGGAGGCACAAGUCAGCGGUAAAAUCGCGGGGCUCAACCCCGCUCCGCCGUUGAAACUGUGUCCCUUGAGUGCGCGAAGGGUAGGCGGAAUGCGUGGUGUAGCGGUGAAAUGCAUAGAUAUCACGCAGAACUCCGAUCGCGAAGGCAGCCUACCGGCGCGCGACUGACGCUCAUGCACGAAAGCGUGGGUAUCGAACAGG
rnacentral:rRNA from 1 species